GACGAACGCUGGCGGCGUGCCUAAUACAUGCAAGUCGAACGCAGUGGGGACGGGUGAGUAACACGUGGGUAACCUCCCAUCAGAGGGGAUAACACUUGGAAACAGGUGCUAAACCGAUACUGAUGGAUGGACGCGGGGUGCAUUAGCUAGUUGGUGGGGUAACGGCUCACCAAGGCCACGAUGCAUAGCCGGCCUGAGAGGGUGAUCAGCCACACUGGAACUGAGACACGGCCCAGACUCCUACGGGAGGCAGCAGUGGGGAAUCUUCGGCAAUGGGCGAAAGUCUGACCGAGCAACGCCGCGUGAGUGAAGAAGGUUUUCGGAUCGUAAACCUCUUUUGUUAGAGAAGCGGUAUCUAACCAGAAAGCCACGGCUAACUACGUGCCAGCAGCCGCGGUAAUUC
rnacentral:rRNA from 1 species